GACGAACGCUGGCGGCGUGCCUAAUACAUGCAAGUCGAGCGGACAGACGGGAGCUUGCUCCCUGAUGUUAGCGGCGGACGGGUGAGUAACACGUGGGUAACCUGCCUGUAAGACUGGGAUAACUCCGGGAAACCGGGGCUAAUACCGGAUGGUUGUCUGAACCGCAUGGUUCAGACAUAAAAGGUGGCUUCGGCUACCACUUACAGAGGGACCCGCGGCGCAUUAGCUAGUUGGUGAGGUAACGGCUCACCAAGGCAACGAUGCGUAGCCGACCUGAGAGGGUGAUCGGCCACACUGGGACUGAGACACGGCCCAGACUCCUACGGGAGGCAGCAGUAGGGAAUCUUCCGCAAUGGACGAAAGUCUGACGGAGCAACGCCGCGUGAGUGAUGAAGGUUUUCGGAUCGUAAAGCUCUGUUGUUAGGGAAGAACAAGUGCCGUUCAAAUAGGGCGGCACCUUGACGGUACCUAACCAGAAAGCCACGGCUAACUACGUG
rnacentral:rRNA from 1 species